rnacentral:rRNA from 1 species
CCUACGGGUGGCAGCAGUGGGGAAUAUUGCGCAAUGGGCGAAAGCCUGACGCAGCGACGCCGCGUGAGGGAUGAAGGUCUUCGGAUCGUAAACCUCUGUCAGCAGGGAAGAACGGUCACUGUGCUAAUCAGCAGUGAAUUGACGGUACCUGCACAGGAAGCACCGGCUAACUCCGUGCCAGCAGCCGCGGUAAUACGGAGGGUGCGAGCGUUAAUCGGAAUUACUGGGCGUAAAGCGCUCGUAGGCGGUAUGUCAAGUCAAGGGUGAAAUCCCCGCGCUCAACGUGGGAACUGACUUUGAAACUGGCAAACUGGAGUGUGGGAGAGGAUAGUGGAAUUCCAGGUGUAGGAGUGAAAUGCGUAGAUAUCUGGAGGAACAUCAGUGGCGAAGGCGACUAUCUGGCACAUAACUGACGCUGAGGAGCGAAAGCGUGGGUAGCAAACAGGAUUAGAUACCCCAGUAGUC